rnacentral:rRNA from 1 species
UACGUAGGGUGCGAGCGUUAAUCGGAAUUACUGGGCGUAAAGCGUGCGCAGGCGGUGAUGUAAGACAGUUGUGAAAUCCCCGGGCUCAACCUGGGAACUGCAUCUGUGACUGCAUCGCUGGAGUGCGGCAGAGGGGGAUGGAAUUCCGCGUGUAGCAGUGAAAUGCGUAGAUAUGCGGAGGAACACCGAUGGCGAAGGCAAUCCCCUGGGCCUGCACUGACGCUCAUGCACGAAAGCGCGGGGAGCAAACAGG